CCCUUCCCAGGAUGGCACCUGGAGAGUUUCCAUUACUCUACCAGUCUCGACUAUGGGAGGGAGAGUCAAGCAGAGGCAUACCUAUUCCAUUCCUGGUGUGGCCAGUGGCUAGUGAGUGGAAGGGAAUAUGCUACAAGU